rfam:Oryza nivara chromosome 8, whole genome shotgun sequence.
AAUAAAUACAGCUGUGAAUAUUCGUGCCCAACAUUUGACUGUCCGUCUUAUUUAAAAUUUUUUUAUGAUUUUUUAUUACUAUUAGAUGAUAAAACAUAAAUAUUACUUUAUGUGUGACUAAAUAUUUUUAAUUUUUUCACAAAAUUUUCAAAUAAGACAAAUGAUCAAACGUUGAAUAUGAAUAGUGUAAAAUUGCACUUAUC